rnacentral:rRNA from 1 species
UGGGGAAUCUUGCACAAUGGGGGCAACCCUGAUGCAGCGACGCCGCGUGAGCGAUGAAGCCCUUCGGGGCGUAAAGCUCUUUCGACCGGAACGAUAGUGACGGUACCGGGAGAAGAAGCUGCGGCUAACUACGUGCCAGCAGCCGCGGUAAUACGUAGGGAGCAAGCGUUGUUCGGAUUUACUGGGCGUAAAGGGCGCGUAGGCGGCGCGGUAAGUCACUUGUGAAAUCUCUGAGCUUAACUCAGAACGGCCAAGUGAUACUGCUGGGCUAGAGUGCGGAAGAGGCAACCGUAAUUCUUGGUGUUGCGGGGAAAUGCGUAGAUAUCAAGAGGAACACCUGAGGCGAAGGCGGGUUGCUGGGCCGACACUUACGCUGAUGCGCGAAAGCCAGGGGAGCAAACG